rnacentral:rRNA from 1 species
AAUGGGGGAAACCCUGAUCCAGCAAUGCCGCGUGAGUGAAGAAGGCCUUAGGGUUGUAAAGCUCUUUCGCCCGUGACGAUGAUGACGGUAACGGGAGAAGAAGCCCCGGCUAAUUCCGUGCCAGCAGCCGCGGUAAUACGGAAGGGGCUAGCGUUGUUCGGAUUUACUGGGCGUAAAGCGCAUGUAGGCGGCGGAUCAAGUGGGGCGUGAAAGGCCUGGGCUCAACCUGGGAACUGCGCUUCAGACUGGUUCGCUCGAGUUCGGGAGAGGGUGGUGGAAUUCCCAGUGUAGAGGUGAAAUUCGUAGAUAUUGGGAGGAACACCGGUGGCGAAGGCGGCCACCUGGCCCGAGACUGACGCUCAAGUGCGAAAGCGUGGGGAGCAAA